GAGGUCCAGCCUGCCCAGUGACUAUAUGUUCAACGGCCGCGGUAUUCUGACCGUGCAAAGGUAGCGUAAUCACUUGUCUUUUAAAUAAAGACUGGUAUGAAUGGCACCACGAAGGUUCAACUGUCUCCUGCAUCCAAUCCAUUAAACUGACCUCCCCGUGCAGAGGCGGGGAUAUACCCAUAAGACGAGAAGACCCUAUGGAGCUUUAAACUUACGGCAACUGCUAAAUAAUCCAACCCCACGCGGGAAAACAGACAAUUAAGCAACAAUGACCUAAAGUUUUCGGUUGGGGCGACCACGGAGAAAAAAAAAUCCUCCUUGAUGUACGGGGCCUUACCCUUUUAACCAAGAACGACAGUUCUAAGUAACAAAACAUUUGACCACUAUUGAUCCAGUCCAACUGAUCAACGAACCAAGUUACCCUAGGGAUAACAGCGCAAUCCAUUUCGAAAGUUCCUAUCGACAAAUGGGUUUACGACCUCGAUGUUGGAUCAGGGCAUCCCAGUGGUGCAGCCGCUACUAAAGGUUCGUUUGUUCAACGAUUAAAGCCCUACGUGAUC
rnacentral:rRNA from 1 species